rnacentral:rRNA from 1 species
UAGGCGGUUUAAUAAGUGAAUAGUGAAACCUGGUGGCUCAACCAUACAGACUAUUAUUCAAACUGUUAAACUCGAGAAUGGUAGAGGUAACUGGAAUUUCUAGUGUAGGAGUGAAAUCCGUAGAUAUUAGAAGGAACACCGGUGGCGUAGGCAGGUUACNUGGGCCAUUUCUGACGCUAAGGCACGAAAGCGUGGGGAGCGAACCGGAUUAGAUACCCGGGUAGUCCACGCCGUAAACGAUGGAUACUAGCUGUUGGAGGUAUCGACCCCUUCAGUAGCGAAGCUAACGCGUUAAGUAUCCCGCCUGUGGAGUACGGCCGCAAGGCUAAAACAUAAAGGAAUUGACGGGGACCCGCACAAGCGGUGGAUUAUGUUCUUUAAUUCGAUGAUAACCGAAGAACCUUACCAGGGCUUGACAUCCAGGGAAGGUCUGCGAAAGUAGACUGUGCCUUUUGGAACCCUGUGACAGGUGAUGCAUGGCCGUCGUCAGCUCGUGUCGUGAGAUGUUAGGUUAAGUCCUUCAACGAGCGCAACCCUUGUGAAUAGUUGUAUUUUUCUAUUCAGACUGCCCCGGUAACGGGGAGGAAGGANGGGGAUGAUGUCAGGUCAGUAUUUCCCUUACGUCCUGGGCUAGAAACGUAAUACAAUGGCCAGUACAAUGCGCAGCGAA